UGGGGAAUUUUGGACAAUGGGCGAAAGCCUGAUCCAGCAAUGCCGCGUGUGUGAAGAAGGCCUUCGGGUUGUAAAGCACUUUUGUCCGGAAAGAAAUCCUUGGCUCUAAUACAGUCGGGGGAUGACGGUACCGGAAGAAUAAGCACCGGCUAACUACGUGCCAGCAGCCGCGGUAAUACGUAGGGUGCAAGCGUUAAUCGGAAUUACUGGGCGUAAAGCGUGCGCAGGCGGUUUGCUAAGACCGAUGUGAAAUCCCCGGGCUCAACCUGGGAACUGCAUUGGUGACUGGCAGGCUAGAGUAUGGCAGAGGGGGGUAGAAUUCCACGUGUAGCAGUGAAAUGCGUAGAGAUGUGGAGGAAUACCGAUGGCGAAGGCAGCCCCCUGGGCCAAUACUGACGCUCAUGCACGAAAGCGUGGGGAGCAAACAGGAUUAGAUACCCUGGUAGUCCACGCCCUAAACGAUGUCAACUAGUUGUUGGGGAUUCAUUUCCUUAGUAACGUAGCUAACGCGUGAAGUUGACCGCCUGGGGAGUACGGUCGCAAGAUUAAAACUCAAGGAAUUGACGGGGUCAUAGCUG
rnacentral:rRNA from 1 species